UAUUCUCUGCCUUUGUCCUAAUGUUACAGGGUCUCUAUGGCAACACCAGCCUGAUACUUGUUACUUUUUUUUUCAGUCAAAGACUGAGCCACAGUCUGGUCACAUGAUGAGGGAGAGAGCAUGCUAGAAAAUGGCCACUCUGCUUCAGUGUGGUGGGAGAGAAGCUAAACGUGCUUGUUGUUUUGUGCUUGUAUUAUUGUGCAGUAAAGGGAGAGUAUGGCUACAUGUGGCUCCUGCACCAAGGGAACCCAACACAUCCCAGUCUGCCCUCCUCUGUAUUUACUCUGUGAAGAGACGUUGACUGGAAUAGUUGAGUUGCAAUCUUUUCCUGCUUGUAUAUCCUCUUUCUAAAGUAUCCCACUGUCUACCAAUAUAAAAUAGUGUCUGUCUAGCCUUCUCCAUACACUUAUUAAUACAUAUAGGCCAUCCACUUUGCCCCCAGUGACUGUAGCAAAGCAGUUGUGACUAUAAACUUUAUAGGGCUGUUACCAUAAAGGGUUUGUUCACCUUUAAAUAUAAAUAUGAUGUAGAGAGUGAUAUUCUGAGACACACAGUUUGCAGUUGGAUUUUAUUUUGUAUUAUUUGUGUUUUUUGAGUUACUUGGCUUUUUAUCCAGCAGCUCUCCAGUUUGUAAUUUUAGAAAUCUGGUUGCUAGGGUGCAAAUUACCUUAGCAACCAUGCAUUCAUAUAAAUAAGGGACUGGAAAAUGGAGAGGAGAUAACCUGAAAAAGUAGCAAGUAAAUCUGCAGCCUUACAGAGUAUUUGUUUUUAGAUGGGGUCAGUUGCCUCCAUUUGAAAAAAGUAAGGCCAAUUUUAUAAGUUGCUUAGAACUAGCCAGUCUAUAAUAAAUUAGAGUUGAACAACCCCUUUAUUAUUUUGAAUUUAUCAAAGGCUGAAAAAAGAGCUAAUAAAAUACAUGAUGGACGCCCAUGCCUUCCAAGGUAGGCCUGGUGCUCAGCAAUAUAGAAAUAAGCAGCCUUUCACACAGUAUAUAAAAGAAAUUUAACUGGCACAUAGGGUAAAUUCCAGCAGGGCAAACCCCUACAAA